rnacentral:tRNA from 1 species
UGGGAUAUAGCUUAGUAGGUAGAGUGUUUGCUUAGCAUGCACAAGGCCCUGGGUUCAGCCCCCAGUACCCCCC